GACGAACGCUGGCGGCGUGCUUAACACAUGCAAGUCGAACGGCAAGGCCCUGCAUUUGUGGGGUGCUCGAGUGGCGAGCGGGUGAGUAACACGUGCGUAACCUCCCCUUGACUUUGGGGUAACUUCCGGACACUGGGGCUACUACUGGCUCGGAGCUCCUGCGGCAUGGUGGGGGUUGGAUAGUUUCGGCGGUUGGGGAUGGAUUCGCGGGUUAUCGGCUUGUUAGUGUGGUAGGGGCUUACCAAGGCUUUGACGGGUAGCCGGCCUGAGCGGGUGACCGGCGACAAGGGGACUGAGGGACGGCCCAGACUCCUACGGGAGGCAGCAGUGGGGAACAUGGCACAAUGGGCGGGAGCCUAAUGCGACGGCGCCGGGUGCGUGAUGACGGCCUGCGGGUGAUAAAACGCUAUCGCCUGUGACGAAGCGGUAGUGACGGUAAUUAGUAAAGAAGCACCGGCUAACUACGUG
rnacentral:rRNA from 1 species